GAUGAAGAACGCAGCGAAAUGCGAUAAGUAAUGUGAAUUGCAGAAUUCAGUGAAUCAUCGAAUCUUUGAACGCACAUUGCGCCCGCCAGUAUUCUGGCGGGCAUGCCUGUCUGAGCGUCAUUUCAACCCUCAUGCCCCUAGGGCGUGGUGUUGGGGAUCGGCCAAAGCCCGCGAGGGACGGCCGGCCCCUAAAUCUAGUGGCGGACCCGUCGUGGCCUCCUCUGCGAAGUAGUGAUAUUCCGCAUCGGAGAGCGAUGAGCCCCUGCCGUUAAACCCCCAACUUUCCAAGGUUGACCUCAGAUCAGGUAGGGAUACCCGCUGAACUUAAGCAUAUCAAUAAGCGGAGGA
rnacentral:misc_RNA from 1 species